rnacentral:lncRNA from 1 species
UUUCCAAACUUAGCCUGGUAAACUUUUGUACUAGGUAAAACUGGUCACUUCUUUUUUGAUAUUGUUCAAUAAGGCAAUGUUUUAUGUAGGAGGUAAUGCUUUCAGAAAUAUACAAUAAUAUAAAGUAAUGUAUUGGUAAAGAAUAUUAACAAUUUUUAAAGCAUUAUCUUUAACUACUUAUGACAUCAAGACAUCAAGUCAGAAUCAGUGAAAGGAAAACAUCAAAUUAUUACUGCUACGCCCACAAAAUUUGCAGUGUGUUAGAAAAAAUUAGUCUGUUUUUUGAAUAAGUUAUCACAUAUUGGAAGUGUGCAAGUAGAACCUACACAAAUUGCAUUGACAUUGAGAGUGUUAAGACAUCACCUUUUUGCGCAGUGGAUGGAGAGGCAAGAAGUGGCGGGCCAUAAGAAACUAUGUGAAGAAACAUCGAAAGUAAAAUAUGACACAAAUGAUCAAAGAGCGCAAACAUUUUAGCUAGUUUGGAUAGAAUAUCUAAUAAACAUAUGUCAAUAUAUCAUGAAAACAACAUAUUUGGAAUUAAUGUAAGUUUUGGUUGUUUUAAAUCAAUUGUCAGUAAUUAUAAAAGUUACUUUAUCUCUCAAACUUUCUUAUUAAACUUAGCAGCUGGCCAUGAAAAAUCCCAGGCAUAAAGUUAUAUAAUUUUUUAAUUUAUAACUUGUUAUAGAGUAAGUGUACUCCUUUCCAAGUAAUUCUUUAGGCAGCA